GAAAUGAAUCUCAGUUCUCUCUUGACCCCCUCCCCCAGAUAUCCAACCCCAAUCCUCAUGAAGAGAGUCAAGAGUAACUUAAAGGGGGUACAGCUCCUUUAAGAAAGGACACAACCUCCAUUAGUGGAUAAUCACCCAAACUCCCUCAAACUGUAGGCCCUCAAGCAGCCACCAAUAAAGAGUGCGUCAAAGCUCUACCCAUAAAAAUUCAAUAACAACAUGAUUCCCUUCCCACUAACAGGCUAACCUACACUAGUAGGAGUAUUAAUGCUAAAAUGAGUAACUAGGGCCCCACCCCUCUCAAGCGCAAACUUACAUUAUCACAUUAUUAACAGACAAUAAACCAAUACCUCAAUUACGACAAGACCAAGAUAUUAAACCCAUCCUGUUACCCCGACUAAGGAGCGCCCAUUAGAAAGAUUCAAAUCUGUAAAAGGAACUAGGCAAACCCAAGGCCCGACUGUUUACCAAAAACAUAGCCUUCAGCCCACCAAGUAUUGAAGGUGAUGCCUGCCCAGUGACAUAACGUUCAACGGCCGCGGUAUCCUAACCGUGCGAAGGUAGCGCAAUCAAUUGUCUCAUAAAUCGAGACUUGUAUGAAUGGCUAAACGAGGUCUUAACUGUCUCUUACAGAUAAUCAGUGAAAUUGAUCUUCCCGUGCAAAAGCGGGAAUGCCGACAUAAGACGAGAAGACCCUGUGGAACUUAAAAAUCAGCGGCCAUCACAUACAAAUUUAAACCUACUAGGCUUACAGUCUUCAAGCACUGGCUCGCAUUUUUCGGUUGGGGCGACCUUGGAGAAAAACAAAUCCUCCAAAAAUAAGACUACACCUCUUAACUAAGAGCAACCCCUCAACGUACCAAUAGUAACCAGACCCAAUACAAUUGACCAAUGGACCAAGCUACCCCAGGGAUAACAGCGCAAUCUCCUCUAAGAGCCCGCAUCGACGAGGAGGUUUACGACCUCGAUGUUGGAUCAGGACAUCCUAAUGGUGCAGCCGCUA
rnacentral:rRNA from 1 species